AAUGAACGUUGGCGGCGUGGAUUAGGCAUGCAAGUCGCGCGACAAGGAACCUUCGGGUUCUGGAGGAGCGGCAAACGGGGUAGUAAGGCAUCGGAACGUACCCUCUUGUUGGGAAUAGCCGCGGGAAACUGCGAGUAAUGCCCAAUAAUCCCUACGGGGCAAAGGUCCGCCGCAGGAGGAGCGGCCGAUGUGAUACCAGCUAGUUGGUGAGGUAAUGGCUCACCAAGGCUUAGACGUCUAGGGGGUGUGAGAGCAUGGCCCCCACCACUGGGACGUGAGAUACUGCCCACGACACCUACGGGUGGCUGCAGUCGAGAAUCUUCGGCGAAUGGGCGCAAGCC
rnacentral:rRNA from 1 species